rnacentral:tRNA from 1 species
GCGGGUGUAACUCAGUGGCAGAGUACCUGCUUCCCAAGCAGGGUGUCGCGGGUUCGAAUCCCGUCACCCGCUCCA